CGGCAAAUUUGCACCGUAACUUCGGAAGAAGGUGCGCCCUAAGUAUGUGAAGCCCCUGCGGGUGGAGCAGAACAGGGUUGCAGUGAAUAGGUGGCUGCGACUGUUUAAUAAAAACACAGCACUCUGCAAACACGUCAAGUGGACGUAUAGGGUGUGACGCCUGCCCGGUGCCGGAAGGUUAAGUGAUGGGGUGCAAGCUCUUGAUCGAAGCCCCGGUAAACGGCGGCCGUAACAAUAACGGUCCUAAGGUAGCGAAAUUCCUUGUCGGGUAAGUUCCGACCUGCACGAAUGGCGUAACGAUGGCCACACUGUCUCCACCCGAGACUCAGCGAAGUUGAAGUGUUUGUGAUGAUGCAAUCUUCCCGCGGCUAGACGGAAAGACCCCGUGCACCUUUACUGUAGCUUUACAUUGGACUUUGAUGAGAUCUGUGUAGGAUAGGUGGGAGACUUUGAAGCGGAUGCGCUAGCGUUCGUGGAGUCACCGUUGAAAUACCACCCUGAUGUUAUUGAGGUUCUAACCUAGCCCCGUGAUCCGGGGCGGGAACCGUGUAUGGCAGGCAGUUUGACUGGGGCGGUCUCCUCCCAAAGAGUAACGGAGGAGCUCGAAGGUACGCUUAGCGCGGUCGGCUAUCGCGCUGAAUGUGCAAUGGCAUAAGCGUGCUUAACUGCGAGACUGACAAGUCGAGCAGGUGCGAAAGCAGGACAUAGUGAUCCGGUGGUUCUGUAUGGAAGGGCCAUCGCUCAACGGAUAAAAGGUACGCCGGGGAUAACAGGCUGAUUCCUCCCAAGAGUUCAUAUCGACGGGGGAGUUUGGCACCUCGAUGUCGGCUCAUCACAUCCUGGGGCUGUAGCCGGUCCCAAGGGUAUGGCUGUUCGCCAUUUAAAGUGGUACGUGAGCUGGGUUUAAAACGUCGUGAGACAGUUUGGUCCCUAUCUGCCGUGGGCGUUGGAAGUUUGAAGGGGGCUGCUCCUAGUACGAGAGGACCGGAGUGGACGCACCUCUGGUGUACCGGUUAUGACGCCAGUCGUAUUGCCGGGUAGCUAUGUGCGGAAGAGAUAACCGCUGAAAGCAUCUAAGCGGGAAACUCGCCUUAAGAUGAGACUUCCCGGAGACUUGAUCUCCCUAAAGGGUCGUCCGAGACCAGGACGUUGAUAGGCUGGGUGUGUACGAUCAGUAAUGGUCUUAGCUAACCAGUACUAAUUGCCCGUGCGGCUUGAUCCC
rnacentral:rRNA from 1 species